rfam:Myotis davidii contig176136, whole genome shotgun sequence.
CUUGGGGGUGGGGGAGGUCCCUCAUCCCAGAUUGCUAGAGGGCACAGGCCAGGCUGAGGGACCCCCACCAGUGCAUG